rnacentral:snRNA from 1 species
AGAGAAUUGUUUGAACCCAGAAGGCGGAGGUUGCAGUGAGCCAAGAUCACACCGUUAUACUCUGGCCUGGGUGACAGAG